rnacentral:rRNA from 1 species
UUUCCGAUGGGGACAACAGUUCGAAAGGACUGCUAAUACCGAAUGAUGUAUAUCUUCCGCAUGGAGGACAUACCAAAGACGGCCUCUAUUUAUAAGCUGUCACGGAAAGAUGGGCCUGCGUCUGAUUAGCCAGUUGGCGGGGUAAUGGCCCACCAAAGCAACGAUCAGUAGCCGGUCUGAGAGGAUGAACGGCCACAUUGGGACUGAGACACGGCCCAAACUCCUACGGGAGGCAGCAGUGGGGAAUCUUCCGCAAUGGACGAAAGUCUGACGGAGCAACGCCGCGUGAGUGAAGAAGGUUUUCGAAUCGUAAAGCUCUGUUGUCAGGGACGAGCAGGGGGAGUAUCAACAACACUCUCUCAUGACGGUACCUGACGAGGAAGCCACGGCUAACUACGUG